rnacentral:rRNA from 1 species
AUUGAACGCUGGCGGCAGGCCUAACACAUGCAAGUCGAACGAGUGGCGGACGGGUGAGUAAUGUCUGGGAAACUGCCUGCUGGAGGGGGAUAACUACUGGAAACGGUAGCUAAUACCGCAUACCAUCAGAUGUGCCCCGAUGGGGUUAGCUAGUUGGUGGGGUAACGGCACACCAAGGCGACGAUCCCUAGCGGGUCUGAGAGGAUGACCAGCAACACUGGAACUGAGACACGUUCCAGAUUCCUACGGGAGGCAGCAGUGGGGAUUAUGGAACACGGGGGGCACGCCUGAUGCAGCCAUGCAGCGUGUAUGAAGAAGGCCUUCGGGUUGUAAAGUACUUUCAGCGGGUAGGCGUUACCCGCAGAAGAGGCACCGGCUAAUUCCGUGCCAGCAGCCGCGGUAAUU